rnacentral:ncRNA from 1 species
UGUCUUUGGGGAGGGGUGAGAUUCCCUACCGGCGGUAAAGUCCGCGAGCUUCGGCACGAAUCGGUGGAAUUCCGAUACCGACAGUAUAGUCUGGAUGAGAAAAGAC